rnacentral:rRNA from 1 species
GACGAACGCUGGCGGCGUGCUUAACACAUGCAAGUCGAACGAAGAGCGAUGGAAGCUUGCUUCUAUCAAUCUUAGUGGCGAACGGGUGAGUAACGCGUAAUCAACCUGCCCUUCAGAGGGGGACAACAGUUGGAAACGACUGCUAAUACCGCAUACGAUCUAAUCUCGGCAUCGAGGAUAGAUGAAAGGUGGCCUCUACAUGUAAGCUAUCACUGAAGGAGGGGAUUGCGUCUGAUUAGCUAGUUGGAGGGGUAACGGCCCACCAAGGCGAUGAUCAGUAGCCGGUCUGAGAGGAUGAACGGCCACAUUGGGACUGAGACACGGCCCAGACUCCUACGGGAGGCAGCAGUGGGGAAUCUUCCGCAAUGGACGAAAGUCUGACGGAGCAACGCCGCGUGAGUGAUGACGGCCUUCGGGU